rnacentral:rRNA from 1 species
CACGUAGGACGCAAGCGUUAUCCGGAAUUACUGGGCGUAAAGAGCGUGUAGGUGGUUGUGUAAGUCAACCGUGAAAGCUCCCGGCUAAACUGGGAGAGGUCGGAUGAGACUGCACGGCUAGAGGGUCGUAGAGGAAUGUGGAAUUCCGGGUGUAGUGGUGAAAUGCGUAGAGAUCCGGAGGAACACCAGAGGCGAAGGCGGCAUUCUGGACGACACCUGACACUGAGACGCGACAGCACGGGGAGCGAACGGG